rnacentral:rRNA from 1 species
GUGGGGAAUAUUGGACAAUGGGCGAAAGCCUGAUCCAGCAAUGCCGCGUGAGUGAUGAAGGCCUUAGGGUUGUAAAGCUCUUUUACCAGGGAUGAUAAUGACAGUACCUGGAGAAUAAGCUCCGGCUAACUCCGUGCCAGCAGCCGCGGUAAUACGGAGGGAGCUAGCGUUGUUCGGAAUUACUGGGCGUAAAGCGCGCGUAGGCGGCUCAGCAAGUCAGGGGUGAAAUCCCGGGGCUCAACCCCGGAACUGCCUUUGAAACUGCUAGGCUAGAAUCCUGGAGAGGCGAGUGGAAUUCCGAGUGUAGAGGUGAAAUUCGUAGAUAUUCGGAAGAACACCAGAGGCGAAGGCGACUCGCUGGACAGGUAUUGACGCUGAGGUGCGAAAGCGUGGGGAGCAAACAGGAUUAGAAACCCCAGUAGUCC